rnacentral:rRNA from 1 species
CUAAGCCAUGCGAGUCCAGGGGGGCUUUGCCCACCGGCGGACGGCUCAGUAACACGUGGACAACCUGCCCUCGGGAGGGGGAUAACCCUGGGAAACUGGGACUAAACCCCCAUAGGCCAUGGAGGCUGGAAGGCGCCAUGGCUGAAAUUCCGCAAGGAGCCCGAGGAUGGGUCUGCGGCCUAUCAGGUCGUAGUGGGGGUAACGGCCCCACUAGCCUACGACGGGUACGGGCCCUGAGAGGGGGAGCCCGGAGAUGGACUCUGAGACACGAGUCCAGGCCCUACGGGGCGCAGCAGGCGCGAAAACUCCGCAAUGCUCGAAAGAGCGACGGGGGAACUCCGAGUGCCUACGCUUUGCGUAGGCUUUUCCUGAGCCUAAAAAGCUCAGGGAAUAAGGGCUGGGUAAGACGGGUGCCAGCCGCCGCGGUAAUACCCGCAGCUCGAGUGGUGGCCGCUAUUAUUGGGCCUAAAGCGUCCGUAGCCGGUCUGAUAAAUGCCUGGGUAAAUCGUAGAGCUCAACUCUACGGCUCCCAGGUAGACUGUCAGACUCGGGACCGGAGGAGGGAGAGGGUACUCCAGGGGUAGGGGUGAAAUCAGCAGAGCAUCACUCUGAUGAUGUGAAUUGCUCUGCAAGUCACAAUCCUGUAAUCCCUGGAGGACCACCGGUGGCGAAGGCGCUCUCCUAGGACGGGUCCGACGGUGAGGGACGAAAGCCAGGGGAGCAAACCGGAUUAGAUACCCGGGUAGUCCUGGCCGUAAACGAUGUGGACUUGGUAUUGGGAUGGCUACGAGCUGCCCCAGUGCCGUAGGGAAGCCGUUAAGUCCACCGCCUGGGGAGUACGGUCGCAAGGCUGAAACUUAAAGGAAUUGGCGGGGGAGCACCGCAACGGGAGGAGCGUGCGGUUUAAUUGGAUUCAACGCCGGAAAGCUUACCAGGGGAGACGGCCGGAUGUGGGCCAGGCUGAAGACCUUGCCCGAACAACAGGCAGAGAGGUGGUGCAUGGCC